AUUGAACGCUGGCGGCAUGCUUUACACAUGCAAGUCGAACGGCAGCACAGGGAGCUUGCUCCCGGGUGGCGAGUGGCGCACGGGUGAGUAAUACAUCGGAACGUGUCCUGUUGUGGGGGAUAACUGCUCGAAAGGGUGGCUAAUACCGCAUGAGACCUGAGGGUGAAAGCGGGGGAUCGCAAGACCUCGCGCAAUUGGAGCGGCCGAUGCCCGAUUAGCUAGUUGGUGAGGUAAAGGCUCACCAAGGCGACGAUCGGUAGCCGGACUGAGAGGUUGAACGGCCACAUUGGGACUGAGACACGGCCCAG
rnacentral:rRNA from 1 species